CUGGCAUGGGGGCACCCUGACCGCAAUGCCGCGUGAGUGAAGAAGGCCUUCGGGUUGUAAAGCUCUUUUGUCAGGGAAGAAACACCGGCUCUAACACAGUCCGGGAAUGACGGUACCUGAAGAAUAAGCACCGGCUAACUACGUGCCAGCAGCCGCGGUAAUACGUAGGGUGCGAGCGUUAAUCGGAAUUACUGGGCGUAAAGCGUGCGCAGGCGGUUAUACAAGACAGGCGUGAAAUCCCCGGGCUUAACCUGGGAAUGGCGCCUGUGACUGUAUAGCUAGAGUGUGUCAGAGGGGGGUAGAAUUCCACGUGUAGCAGUGAAAUGCGUAGAUAUGUGGAGGAAUACCAAUGGCGAAGGCAGCCCCCUGGGAUAACACUGACGCUCAUGCACGAAA
rnacentral:rRNA from 1 species